UCGCGAUUUUCGUAAAAUAUAAUAAUAAGUAUUCAUACAAUAUUCUGAACAUUUCAUCGAUAUUUGUACAUUCUGUGACGAUUCUUUUACUGUUUCAGAACAUUCGGCAUUCGUAAUAUGAAUCGAACUUUCUGUGAAUAUUUAGCUGGGAUUCUUCCUAACCUGACUAGCAGGAAGAGAUUCUGAUAGUUGGCCGGGACUAGCUAAGGAAGCAGCAUAUUGAUGUAAAUGCGCCGGAGACAUUGACGCAGGUGCCUGCAUGAAGAAGAAAAUAUAGGAAUAUAUUCUUCUCAAUGGGAAAUCGCUUGUUGAAUGACACCCAGUUGUUCAGCAAGCUCUUUUUGUAUUUGACAAGGAUUUUCUUGCAACAGCUGAUCCAAUUCCUCGUCUUCAACUUUUUUUGAUGCUCCCGAUAUUGAUCAGAAAGAUCGAAAUUUUCCCGAAGAAGUAUGGAAGAAGUGCGGAGAUGGUACGGAAAAGAUGCAGAAGAUGCAGAAAAGAUGCGGAAGAGAUGCAGAAGGAUGCAGAAAAAGUACAAAAGAGAUGGAAGAUGUGCAGAAGUGGUGCGGAAAAGAUGCGAAAAUGGUGCAGAAGUAUUGUAUGCGUAAAUUGUCCUAUAUAGAACAUUUCGAUUUCUAUAGUCUGAAAACCAUCUGGUGUACUAUAAAAAUUUAUAGUAUAAGUUUUAUGAUGAAAAAUUUUGUUAUAAUAUUAAUAGACUUUUCGAUGCAUGUAAUUCCAUAUUGAAUACUAUAGUAAAUGAACUAUAAAAACGAGGAUAAAAUAAUCGAAUUUCAAGUUAUCCAGACAUGCGUGCGAUUAUAGCUUACAGUUAGCGCGUUAGAAUAUUACUCCAUAGGUCUUAAGAUUUUAAUUCCGUCGAUACUACAUAUCUCCUUCAAGUGCCAUACGCUUACAGUGCGUAGGCCUCCCUCUCAUAUAUCUAUGCGCGCACACUGAUCGUACACAAGGUAUAUGGGGACCUACAGUAUAAAUGCCAAUUCUUGAUAAAGCAAUUUUUGAUAAAGAGGUUUCCUGGGCAAGUAUACUACUCAGUGGUUUGUCUUCCAAGAGAAGCUACAAGCGUACGAAAAUUUUUCGAUUCUGCCGGAGAUCGAACCUGGGAUCUCUAAUAUAGCAGACCAGUACGCUAUCCGCUACACCACGCUCGCGCUCGAUACUACAUAUGCAUUUAAAAAAAAUAUAUAUAUCUAUAUAAAUGUACGGCGUAUUUUAAGCAUGAUGGAUAUAUGAUAUAAAUAUGAGAAUAAAAAAUAAACGGUUUAUUAAGACCGUAUAUGUGAAUGCACAACAAGUAAGAGUUUAAUGCCAAUUACGGUCCAAGCUGAAUCUUAGACGCCUUUAAAUAAUUUUUAUGUAAAUUAUAUAAAUACUAAAUAUGUCAUUUAAACUGA